GACCCAGACUCCUACGGGAGGCAGCAGUGGGGAAUAUUGCACAAUGGGGGGAACCUUGAUGCAGCAACGCCGCGUGGGUGAAGAAGUACUCCGGUAUGUAAAGCCCUGUCAGCAGGGAAGAAAAUGGCGGUACCUGACCAAGAAGCCCCGGCUAACUACGUGCCAGCAGCCGCGGGAAUACGUAGGGGGCAAGCGUUAUCCGGAUUCACUGGGUGUAAAGGGAGCGUAGACGGCCAAGCAAGCCAGGGGUGAAAGCCCGGGGCCCAACCCCGGGACUGCCCUUGGAACUGCAUGGCUGGAGUGCGGGAGGGGCAGGCGGAAUUCCUGGUGUAGCGGUGAAAUGCGUAGAUAUCAGGAGGAACACCGGCGGCGAAGGCGGCCUGCUGGACCGCGACUGACGUUGAGGCUCGAAAGCGUGGGGAGCGAACAGGAUUAGAUACCCUUGUA
rnacentral:rRNA from 1 species